AUUGAACGCUGGCGGCAGGCCUAACACAUGCAAGUCGAGCGGAUGAAGGGAGCUUGCUCCUGGAUUCAGCGGCGGACGGGUGAGUAAUGCCUAGGAAUCUGCCUGGUAGUGGGGGAUAACGUCCGGAAACGGGCGCUAAUACCGCAUACGUCCUGAGGGAGAAAGUGGGGGAUCUUCGGACCUCACGCUAUCAGAUGAGCCUAGGUCGGAUUAGCUAGUUGGUGGGGUAAAGGCCUACCAAGGCGACGAUCCGUAACUGGUCUGAGAGGAUGAUCAGUCACAAUGGGAUGGGGAACGGGUCCAGGAUUCAAAGGGGGGCCGGAGUGGGGAAAUAGGGAAAAGGGGGGAAAGCCGGAUCCGGGCAAGCCGCGUGUGGGAAGAAGGUCUUGGGAUUGUAAAGCACUUUAAGUUGGGAGGAAGGGCAAUAAGUUAAUACCUUGGUGUUGUGGCGGUUCCAAAAAAAAAAACCCCGGCAAACUUUG
rnacentral:rRNA from 1 species